rnacentral:rRNA from 1 species
GACGAACGCUGGCGGCGUGCUUAACACAUGCAAGUCGAACGAAGUGGCGAACGGGUGAGUAACGCGUAAUCAACCUGCCCUUCAGAGGGGGACAACAGUUGGAAACGACUGCUAAUACCGCAUACUGAAGGAGGGGAUUGCGUCUGAUUAGCUAGUUGGAGGGGUAACGGCCCACCAGGGCGAUGAUCAGUAGCCGGGCUUAGAGGAUGAACGGCCACAGUGGGACUGAGAAACGGCCCAGACUCCUACGGGAGGCAGCAGUGGGGAAUUUUCCGCAAUGGACGAAAGUCUGACGGAGGCACGCCGCGUGAGUGAUGACGGCCUUCGGGUUGUAAAGCUAUGUUAAUCGGGACGCGGUACCGGAAUAGAAAGCCACGGCUAACUACGUGCCAGCAGCCGCGGUAAUUC